UACGUAGGGGGCGAGCGUUGUUCGGAAUUACUGGGCGUAAAGGGCUUGUAGGUGGCCAACUAAGUCCGACGUGAAAUCCCUAGGCUUAACCUAGGAACUGCGUCGGAUACUGGAUGGCUUGAAUCCGGGAGAGGGAUGCGGAAUUCCAGGUGUAGCGGUGAAAUGCGUAGAUAUCUGGAGGAACACCGGUGGCGAAGGCGGCAUCCUGGACCGGUAUUGACACUGAAAAGCGAAAGCCAGGGGAGCAAACGGG
rnacentral:rRNA from 1 species